rnacentral:RNase_P_RNA from 1 species
GUGAGCCGCUGGACGGUUGCCGGGUCUUGGACCUGAGGAAGCUCCGCCCUCCACGUGGAAGCGCGCCACCGAAAGGUGGGCGGGGAGACCCGUGCCUCUGGCACAGAAACGCUCCACCUUCUUGUAGGAUGACAAUGAUUAAGAGCUGAGGACGCAAGAAGGUGUUGAAACGGUCAUGCCGCGCGGAGAAAGGGCAAAAACGCGCCUGUGAGUUCCACGCGAGGCGCGGGUAGCCCGCUUAGUCAAAUACCGUCAAAAACAAAAGGCGGGCUAUGGGCGGCACAC